rnacentral:rRNA from 1 species
GAUGAACGCUGGCGGCGUGCCUAAUACAUGCAAGUCGAGCGAACGGACGAGAAGCUUGCUUCUCUGAUGUUAGCGGCGGACGGGUGAGUAACACGUGGAUAACCUACCUAUAAGACUGGGAUAACUUCGGGAAACCGGAGCUAAUACCGGAUAAUAUUUUGAACCGCAUGGUUCAAAAGUGAAAGACGGUCUUGCUGUCACUUAUAGAUGGAUCCGCGCUGCAUUAGCUAGUUGGUAAGGUAACGGCUUACCAAGGCAACGAUGCAUAGCCGACCUGAGAGGGUGAUCGGCCACACUGGAACUGAGACACGGUCCAGACUCCUACGGGAGGCAGCAGUAGGGAAUCUUCCGCAAUGGGCGAAAGCCUGACGGAGCAACGCCGCGUGAGUGAUGAAGGUCUUCGGAUCGUAAAACUCUGUUAUCAGGGAAGAACAUAUGUGUAAGUAACUGUGCACAUCUUGGCGGUACCUAAUCAGAAAGCCACGGCUAACUACGUGCCAGCAGCCGCGGUAAUACGUAGGUGGCAAGCGUUAUCCGGAAUUAUUGGGCGUAAAGCGCGCGUAGGCGGUUUUUUAAGUCUGAUGUGAAAGCCCACGGCUCAACCGUGGAGGGUCAUUGGAAACUGGAAAACUUGAGUGCAGAAGAGGAAAGUGGAAUUCCAUGUGUAGCGGUGAAAUGCGCAGAGAUAUGGAGGAACACCAGUGGCGAAGGCGACUUUCUGGUCUGUAACUGACGCUGAUGUGCGAAAGCGUGGGGAUCAAACAGGAUUAGAUACCCUGGUAGUCCACGCCGUAAACGAUGAGUGCUAAGUGUUAGGGGGUUUCCGCCCCUUAGUGCUGCAGCUAACGCAUUAAGCACUCCGCCUGGGGAGUACGACCGCAAGGUUGAAACUCAAAGGAAUUGACGGGGACCCGCACAAGCGGUGGAGCAUGUGGUUUAACUCGAAGCAACGCGAAGAACCUUACCAAAUCUUGACAUCCUUUGACAACUCUAGAGAUAGAGCUUUCCCCUUCGGGGGACAAAGUGACAGGUGGUGCAUGGUUGUCGUCAGCUCGUGUCGUGAGAUGUUGGGUUAAGUCCCGCAACGAGCGCAACCCUUAAGCUUAGUUGCCAUCAUUAAGUUGGGCACUCUAAGUUGACUGCCGGUGACAAACCGGAGGAAGGUGGGGAUGACGUCAAAUCAUCAUGCCCCUUAUGAUUUGGGCUACACACGUGCUACAAUGGACAAUACAAAGGGCAGCGAAACCGCGAGGUCAAGCAAAUCCCAUAAAGUUGUUCUCAGUUCGGAUUGUAGUCUGCAACUCGACUACAUGAAGCUGGAAUCGCUAGUAAUCGUAGAUCAGCAUGCUACGGUGAAUACGUUCCCGGGUCU